rnacentral:tRNA from 1 species
GCAUCGGUGGUUCAGUGGUAGAAUGCUUGCCUGCCACGCGGGCGGCCCAGGUUAGAUUCCCGGCCAAUGAA